UUACAUAUGUAAAAUGUUUCCUACAGUGCUCUGGACAAAUAGGCUGUCCUGCUCCGCUCCCCUUUGGCACCAGCUCCUGCCACAACAAAAGAGGAUUCCUCUGAAGAGUUCCUGCUGGAUACAGAUCAUUUGAAAGAUACCACACACAUACUUGUAUCUUCCAAGCACACCUCUGCCAGCCACAUCACCACUGCCCAUGAUAGCUUCUCCACUGGACCCAUCAAGAGAUGAGGUUGCCUCUUCAUCUUGGACCACGACCGAUGGACAGAGCCCCUUAAAGCUGCCAGUGAUGUCCUACUGGCCAAGCACCAUGGGGAGGAAGAGAUCCUGAAGUGGGUAGAUUUGCUUUGCUCUCAACACCAGCCCAGAGAAGCUCCUAGGGACACACAGCUGUGACAUUAUUUUACUGCAGAGAGUAAAAUGGUCAGUGUCCCAGUCACGUACCCUACCACCUGCACUUACACAGCAGAAAGCCUCACCAAUUCAAGGAUACCAUUUCAGAAUUUUGCUGCCGCUGCCUUCUUUCAAUGGGAGCUGGAGGCCUCGAAGCAGAGGGAGGCAGUGAGGAAGGAGCAAACUGAGGAAAGAGAAAAUCCUUAGAGCAACAUCCCUCUGUCCGUCUGUACAGGUUCUGCCACCAGUCGCUGAAACAAGGCUCCAACAGCCAUCACACACAUACCGGCUUUCCUUGAGUGGCAGGAAAAUAUCUACUGCCUAGCCAAAGUUUUUUCUCUGUACCUGACACAGGGCAUUGGCGGAUGCGCCAACAGUCUGCCUUUUAUGAGACUGAAAAGUAGAGAUGGAUGGUGGGGAAGGGAGAGUGACUGAAAUAAAUAGGAGCUGAAGAUUUCCAUUGAUGGAAGUGGUUUGUAUUUAUUUCACAGGUACUGUCCAUUCUUUUACUUUACUGUACAUACGUUGCUGUAUAUCACUGGAUAUAUUAUCAGGGCUGUAAAGUACUUAGGUAAAAAUACUUUAAAGUACUACUUAAGUAGUUUUUUGGGGUGUCUGUACUUUACUUCAUUAUUUAUAUUUUUGACAACUUUUACUUUUACUUCACUACAUUCCUAAAAAAAAGAUUGUACUUCUUACUCCAUACAUUUUCCCUGGCACCCAAAAGUACUCAUUACAUUUUGAAUGCUUAGCAGGAAAGGAAAAUGGUCCAAUUAACACACUUAUCAGGAGAAUCUCUACUGCCUCUGAUCUGGCGGACUCACUAAACACAAAUUCUUCGUAUGUAAAUGAUGUCUGAGUGUUGGAGUGUGCCCCUAGUUGUCUGUAAAUUUGAAAAAAAACACAUUGUGUCAUCUGG
rnacentral:lncRNA from 1 species